UACGUAGGGCGCAAGCGUUGUCCGGAAUUAUUGGGCGUAAAGAGCUCGUAGGCGGUCUGUCGCGUCUGUUGUGAAAACUCGAGGCUCAACCUCGGGCUUGCAGUGGAUACGGGCAGACUAGAGUGCGGUAGGGGAGACUGGAAUUCCUGGUGUAGCGGUGGAAUGCGCAGAUAUCAGGAGGAACACCGAUGGCGAAGGCAGGUCUCUGGGACGGUAUUGACGCUGAGACGCGAAAGCGUGGGGAGCAAACAGG
rnacentral:rRNA from 1 species